rnacentral:rRNA from 1 species
AACGAACGCUGGCGGCAGGCCUAAUACAUGCAAGUCGAACGCUCCAGCAAUGGAGAGUGGCAGACGGGUGAGUAACGCGUGGGAACCUUCCCAGUGGUACGGAAUAGCCCAGGGAAACUUGAGGUAAUACCGUAUACGCCCUUCGGGGGAAAGAUUUAUCGCCAUUGGAUGGGCCCGCGUCGGAUUAGCUAGUUGGUGGGGUAAUGGCCUACCAAGGCGACGAUCCGUAGCUGGUCUGAGAGGAUGAUCAGCCACAUUGGGACUGAGACACGGCCCAAACUCCUACGGGAGGCAGCAGUGGGGAAUAUUGGACAAUGGGCGCAAGCCUGAUCCAGCCAUGCCGCGUGAGCGAUGAAGGCCUUCGGGUUGUAAAGCUCUUUCGCACACGACGAUGAUGACGGUAGUGUGAGAAGAAGCCCCGGCUAACUUCGUGCCAGCCGCCGCCGUAAAAC